AGGGUGUAAACGCUGCAGACUUGGUGUUGGGAACCCUUCGGGGUGCUCAGUGCCGGAGAGAAGUUGUUAAGUCUGCUACUUGGGGAGUACGUCCGCAAGGAUGAAACUUAAAGGAAUUGGCGGGGGGAGCACCGCAACGGGAGGAGCGUGCGGUUUAAUUGGAUUCAACGCCGAAAAACUCACCAGCAGCGACUGUUACAUGAAAGUCAGGUUGAUGACCUUACUAGAUUUUCAGAGAGGAGGUGCAUGGCGUCAGUGACU
rnacentral:rRNA from 1 species